GACGGCUCUCACUCGCUCACUGAACGGGCACACUCACAUCUCUCUCCGCCGCACUCACUCACAUCUCACUCUCCCCCGCACAUGUCGCCGCAGCCAUCUCUCCCGGCUACGGCGCUGCGGCGACGCCGCAGCUAUAGAUCACCGUCUUGGCUUGGAUCUGCUGCCUCCCCCCAACUUCCCGCCGCACCCCAUCCCCUCCACCGCGAUAUCUCCGGUGAGCAGCGGGACCGCACAUCUGGCCCGGUGAGCAGCCGGAUCCGGCCGCCGGCCGGGAGGUGCAGAAGGCCUGGCCGUUAUUCUUUGCGCCGGCGAUGUAGCUGGAGAGAGGGUCUUCUCCGGUGAGCAACCGGACCGCACAUCUGCCGCGGUGAGCAGCAGGAUUCGGCCGCUAGUCACGCCGGCCACGUAGCUGUUGGGACGGUCCAACAAUGUCUCCAGGCAGUCCAUCUUCGGCAAGAGCAGAGCCGGGCUGCUGAAGAAGGCGCAGGAGCUCGCCAUGCUCUGCGAGGCGGACCUUGGCGUCCUCAUCUUCGACAGCGCCGGCAAGCAGAUGGACUACUGCAGCCCCUCCACCAUGUCCAAUAGUUCUCCUUCGUCAAUCUUCUCCAACCAAUCUCAUGGCACGUGCAUACAUCUCGAUUCAUCCCGGUUGCAAACUUAUUUUGGAUAUUCUGCAAUGCCCUGUCUAGCUAGGUGCCCCUCUGCGGCUCUAACGUGUAUACUUUUAGAUUGUUCUGUUUUUAGUACAAGAGUACAUGCGUGUGGUGAACUGAUAGAUUCAUUCCGGAAGAUGAACUUAUUAAAGUCACUUGAAAUCCUUACAAAUCAUCUAAUGCCAAACGAUCUGGGGCAGACACAAUUGAUAUGUGUGAAAUAGAAGAUGAGAACGAACUUCAAUUACCUAGAGUAUGGGGAUGCUCUGAUUGUGUCCCGUGAUGAAGUUAGUCAGGCAAUGUUCAUAAUUUAGCUCCAUGAGGCCAUGGAGAAAAGGCUUGUGCCUCGCAAGGUACAGCUUUUGUCUACAUGCUCAACAAAAUAUCGCCUACCAGACUUGCAGUAUAAUUCAGAAGGAUGGUCAAAGGUUACUUUACGUUGUAUUAUUAUUAGUCAGAUAAGUUCAGCUAAAAAAAGUUAGAUAACAAGAACCGAGUUGAAGUUGUAGAUGUAUACGUCCUUGCAAUCAACGACCCUAGGAUUUAAUGGUGUGUAUGAAUCUACACUUUAUUUUGAACACUAACUUGCAAUUCAUGCAAUGAUGAUUAAACAAACUCCAGUCUAGUGGAUUCAUGCGACGAUGACGAAGUAUUUGUAAGACUAACUUGCAGACUUGCAGUGAUGAUUCACUCGCAGUGUUUGAAGUGUUAGCAGAUGAGCCGCUAAAUGGGAAAGCUCUGAUCUUGAAGUAAUUUUGAGUGUGUUAAAACUGAAAGUUAAUUCCUUUGUUUGUUUGAUAAACUUUCUGAUAUGCUUCAUAAGUGGGUUCAUGGAUAUGUAGUUAAAAGUGAGUAACUAUGGUAUUGUAUAUGAUAUUAAAAUAUUCAGUACAGUAGCAAUGUAGAAUUUCUACCAAACUGAUGUUUGAUUUAGUUAUCUUUGUAUCAACAGCCACACAACUGUAUGAAGCCCUUUUUCUUUUGCACUUCCAACUGAUAGGGUGGAGCUAAUGUGAGAGGAGCUGGUCCUUGUGAUAAUCUCUGGUCACGGCUGCAGAAAAGGGCUUAACGGAAUCUACCGAGUGCCUGCUGGUAGCUGGUGCAAACUUACUUGUUUUUGACAUGCCAAACAUGUUGCCUUCUCAGUCGGCUGGAGCUUCAUGUGGGUUAUUCUAUUUGGACUCCUAUUUGCCGUGGUCGGAUCAUAUGCAGUGUACAAAUACAGUCUACAUUCUACAGCGAGAUCAAGCAAAACUGCAACAGUUCUAAAGGCUGUCGAAGAUCACAAGGGCAGCUCGCUAUUGUACUGGACUUCGGUCCAUAAGGGCAACUUGCUGUAGAUUUAUGCUAUACAUGUCACAGAACAGGGAUCAAUAUGAGGCGUCAUUUGACUGAACUUCAGUCAGUACAUGUUACAGAACUUCAGUCAAUAUGGGGCGUCAUUGGAUUGAACCCCAGAAUUGUUUGACCUCUACACAACGACAUUACAAAGAGAAUCCGUGUACAGCAUACCUGGGGCGUGCACUCCUAUCGAUUUGUUUAACCCCAGAUUUGUUUGAGCUCUA